rnacentral:rRNA from 1 species
AUACGGGGGGAGCAAGCGUUGUCCGGAAUCACUGGGCGUAAAGCGCGUGUAGGCGGGCCUGUAAGUCUGGGGUGAAAUGUUGGGGCUUAACCCCGAACCUGCCUUAGAAACUACAGGUCUUGAGUAUGGAAGAGGGAAGCGGAAUUCCAGGUGUAGCGGUGGAAUGCUUAGAUAUCUGGAAGAACACCGGUGGCGAAGGCGGCUUCCUGGCCCAUUACUGACGCUCAAACGCGAAAGCGUGGGUAGCAAACAGGAUUAGAUACCCUGGUAGUCCACGCCCUAAACGAUGAACACUAGGUGCUGGGAGAUUCGACCCUUUCAGUGCCGUAGCAAACGCGUUAAGUGUUCCGCCUGGGGAGUACGAUCGCAAGGUUGAA